UUAACUACCCUUGACAUGUCUGGAAUGCCGAAGAGAUUUUGGCAGUGCUCGCAAGAGAACCGGAACACAGGUGCUGCAUGGCUGUCGUCAGCUCGUGUCGUGAGAUGUUGGGUUAAGUCCCGCAACGAGCGCAACCCUUGUCAUUAGUUGCUACGAAAGGGCACUCUAAUGAGACUGCCGGUGACAAACCGGAGGAAGGUGGGGAUGACGUCAAGUCCUCAUGGCCCUUAUGGGUAGGGCUUCACACGUCAUACAAUGGUCGGGACAGAGGGCUGCCAACCCGCAAGGGGGAGCCAAUCCCAGAAACCCGAUCGUAGUCCGGAUCGCAGUCUGCAACUCGACUGCGUGAAGUCGGAAUCGCUAGUAAUCGCGGAUCAGCAUGUCGCGGUGAAUACGUUCCCGGGUCUUGUACACACCGCCCGUCACACCAUGGGAGUGGGUUUUACCAGAAGUAGUUAGCCUAACCGCAAGGGGGGCGAUUACCACGGUAGGAUUCAUGACUGGGGUGAAGUCGUAACAAGGUAAGCGUAGCGAG
rnacentral:rRNA from 1 species